rnacentral:rRNA from 1 species
CGUGACCCCAGGUCAGGCGGGGACACCCGCUGAG